CAAAAAUGGGGUCGACUGCCGUUUCUACCCAACAAGCAUUCUUCAAUCUCCAAAAAUUCACACCUUUAAGCUACGCUAGCAGCUGUAGAAGUAUCAGGAGUAAGAGAAAAUGUGUGAUUCCGAUUAAGUGUUGCUCGCCGUCGCCGGCGUCGGAGGUAGCGACGGCGGCGAAAGAAAACCGGCGGGAAUUGCUGAAGAACGGCGACGAUAAGCUGGAAAUAUGCAGAGUAUUGAACGGGAUGUGGCAAACUAGUGGUGGAUGGGGAAGAAUCGAUCGAAACGACGCCGUUGAAGCUAUGCUUAAUUAUGCAGACGCUGGGCUUUCUACUUUCGACAUGGCCGACCACUAUGGACCUGCUGAAGAUCUUUAUGGCAUCUUCAUUAACAGAGUACGUAGAGAGCGCCCACCAGAACUUCUAGAAACUGUGAGAGGUCUUACAAAAUGGGUGCCACCACCAGUCAAGAUGACCCGCAGUUUUGUCAGUGAGAGCAUUGAUGUUUCAAGGAGGAGGAUGGAUGUCGCAGCUUUGGACAUGCUUCAAUUUCAUUGGUGGGACUACUCUAAUCCUGGAUACUUAGACGCACUUAAGCACCUCACGGAUCUCAAAGGAGAAGGCAAGAUUAAGACCAUUGCUCUGA
rnacentral:misc_RNA from 1 species